rnacentral:rRNA from 1 species
UCCGCUGAAUUUAAGCAUAUAAUUAAGCGGCAGAAAAGAAAAUAACCAUGAUUCCCUAGUAACGGCGAGUGAAGC